rnacentral:rRNA from 1 species
ACACAAAACUAGCUCCGACCUCGGAUCAGACGAGACUACCCGCUGAACUUAAGCAUAUCAGUAAGCGGAGGAAAAGAAACUAACAAGGAUU